AUAAUCUUUUAUACAAUAAGAUGCAGCUAUAAUAAUAAAUCAAUAUCUCAUUUUAUUAUCAAAUAAAUAAUAUCAUUAUAUGAGUUAGAAAUUUAUAAAGAAAAAUUCCAUCGCAUCACUCAUGUGAUUGGCUUGUAGGAUACUAUUCUUUCAAUCUCUCACUUAUACUAAAACCAAUCAUCUUUGUAUCUCAAUCCUAUACG
rnacentral:lncRNA from 1 species